UACGGAGGGUGCAAGCGUUAUCCGGAUUUACUGGGUUUAAAGGGUGUGUAGGCGGGCUUUUAAGUCAGUGGUGAAAUCUCCGGGCUCAACCCGGAAACUGCCAUUGAUACUAUUAGUCUUGAAUUUUGUUGAGGUAGGCGGAAUAAGUCAUGUAGCGGUGAAAUGCUUAGAUAUGACAUAGAACACCGAUAGCGGAGGCAGCUUGCUACACAGUCAUUGACACUGAGGCACGAAAGCGUGGGGAUCAAACAGG
rnacentral:rRNA from 1 species